rnacentral:lncRNA from 1 species
UCAGCCUCAACUCCAAUUCUGUCCCCAUGUCAACAUGAAGGAUGCCCCGGAGCUGGAGAGAGGAAAGAAGGGAGCCCUUUCUGAGCAACUACCACAGCCUAGGCACUGUGCCAGACACUGGAAAGGGCAAGGUCAAAGAUGGAAGGAUCGUGCGGAGGUCUUGUUGUCGAUGUCACAGAAAAGAAAAUGAUCAUUCAGAAAGAACAAAGGGAGGAGGCAAAGGAGCCUGCAAAGGAGAUGCUGAUUGGCUGAAGGUUUAAGGAUGCUGCAAGUGUGGAAGCCAAAGAGGGAGAAGUGCCUGAGACCACCGCCCAGACAGGAGCCAUAGCUGACUGUGGAAGGGAGACUAGGAAUAGCCACAAGAAAGAAAUUUCCAUUCAGAAGGAAUGGAACGGGCAAAAGAAUUUGGGAAGAAGUUGAGUGGUUAAUCUACUCAGGUUUUACCUUCUGAUGUUGAUGUUUCUAAGAA